UAGAGAACUACAAAAGGCACACUGCAGAGUGAAUGAGAGUUGGGACUUUGAUGAGAGUGCCCUCUCUUUAUUUGCAUCUUACACGGGUUGAAUUGUUUGAGGAUAUUCCUUGGAAGAAGUACCAGGGACCAGAUCUGCACAGCUCCACCUAUCCUCAGAUCCACAUCGUCGGUUAAAUGGUCUGACAUGUCCAAUCCUUGGUCCUUCUGGCCCAGUAGUUUCUGAGCGUCCAAAGCCCAUCAGGUGUUAUGGAGAUGAGACUCGGUGCCUUGAGUUUGUUCUUGUUCGUGAUGACAGUGAAGUUCCCAAUGAGGUUGUCAGAGCCUGUGCAACUCCAUCUUUUUGUGAAAUGGCCAAAAUGUCAACGCAUAUUGAUGCCUUUUCAGGCACUAUAACCCAAGCAAGAUGCUGUGAAAGUGUGCGUUCCGGAGCAGCUCAACAUUGAGGGGUAGUUAGAGGGGAACUACAUCUUCUUUCUUUUUGUCCCCACUGUUUCUUGCAGCUGUGGAAGUGGAGGUUGCUUUCCUGGUGGUGGGAAUAUUGAGCGACUGCCAUUCAAAGGACUCCUGAGUCCUCUAUUUGGCUUAUAGUGGUGGGUAAAUGGGUUUAGGCGAUAGAGAAUCUGAAGUAGUAAUGUCUAGCUUUGGGACUCUUUUUCAUGAUAAUAUGUUAUAGGUAUU